CAGAUCUGUGUGCCUGUGGAGUCCUCAAGCCCCCUGGUGAUGAGUAACCAGAAGGAGGUGCUGCGCUGCUUCACUGUGCUGGCCUGCAGCUCGCCUGACCGCCUACUGGCCUUCCUGCUGCCCAGGCUGGACACCAGCAAUGAGAGGACCCGCGUGGGCACCCUGCAGGUGGUCAGACAUGUCAUCAACUCAGCUGUAAUUUCAUAGAAUAUCCUGAUGUUGGUCCUGCAGUGCCCUGCAGUUGGAACAGAGCCCUGCUCCUCACCACGGCCUUUCUGCUCCCACCAGCAACCUGGGCCAAGCUCCCACCAGGGACCUCUCCUUGGCCACACUCGGCUGCCUGAUGUUGGAGGCUCUUCCAGCCUGGAAUCAUCUUUCUGUGGCUCCCACAUAGCCAGCUCUCUUCCUUUGAGUCUUAGCUUCAGGGUCACUUUUCAGAAUAGCCCUUGGUGUUGACCCCCUUCUUCCAGUGCAGCACCCCCAUGAAUAUGUUUCUCAGCCUCUCGUCUGCACCUCUCCUGAUGCUGCCACAGUGUGUGGUGAUCUUAUUUACUGUCCAGUUGUCUUUGUGUCUUUUCCAUUAGGACAUAAGCUACUUGAGGGCAAGCCCCAUCUGCCUUAUAAAGGGCCUAGCAGGGAGUUGGCCUCCCCAUAAACUUGAGGAGUGAAUAAAAUAUUGC
rnacentral:lncRNA from 10 species